rnacentral:rRNA from 1 species
CGUGUAGGCGGCCAUGCAAGUCGGGUGUGAAAGCCCACGGUUCAACCGUGGAAGUGCAUUCGAAACUGCGUGGCUAGAGUCCCGGAGAGGAAGGCGGAAUACUUGGUGUAGAGGUGAAAUUCGUAGAUAUCAAGUGGAACACCGGUGGCGAAGGCGGCCUUCUGGACGGUGACUGACGCUGAGACGCGAAAGCGUGGGGAGCAAACA